UACAGAGGGUGCGAGCGUUGUCCGGAAUCACUGGGCGUAAAGGGCGCGUAGGCGGCUUGAUAAGCGUGCGGUGAAAGCCCGGGGCUCAACCCCGGGUCGGCCGUGCGAACUGUCGAGCUGGAGCACUGUAGAGGCAGGUGGAAUCCCGGGUGUAGCGGUGGAAUGCGUAGAGAUCCGGAAGAACACCGGUGGCGAAGGCGGCCUGCUGGGCAGUGGCUGACGCUGAGGCGCGACAGCGUGGGGAGCAAACAGG
rnacentral:rRNA from 1 species